AAAAAGUGCAAGGUAAUCGCCUUCAUUAUGAAGGAGGAAAGUCCGGGCUCCUGCGGACAAGAUGCUGGGUAACUCCCAGGCACAAAAUUAGAAUAUUUUGUGACGGAUAGUGGCACAGAAACCAAACCGCCAAUUUAUUGGUAAGGGUGAAAACGUGCGGUAAGAGCGUACGGCUGUCAGAGGUGACUCUGCAGUGGCUAAACCCCAUCUGGAGCAAGGCCAAAUAGGGAAACUAUGAUUGUUCGCGUCACUUUAGUUUUCGGGUAGGCUGCUUGACCCCAAUGGUAACAUUUCUGAAAUUCAGAGCAUUUUUAUGUGGGGCUAGAUAGAUGAUUACCGCCUCUGUAACGGAGGUACAGAACCCGGCUUACUAACAUUUUUUAUCG
rnacentral:RNase_P_RNA from 1 species